rnacentral:rRNA from 1 species
UACAGAGGUGGCAAGCGUUGUUCGGAAUUACUGGGCGUAAAGGGCGCGUAGGUGGCCUUUUCAGUCAGACGUGAAAUCCCCAGGCUUAACCUGGGAACUGCGUCUGAUACUGGAAGGCUUGAGUUCGGGAGAGGGAUGUGGAAUUCAGGUGUAGCGGUGAAAUGCGUAGAUAUCUGGAGGAACACCGGUGGCGAAGGCGGCAUCCUGGACCGAAACUGACACUGAGGCGCGAAAGC